rnacentral:lncRNA from 1 species
AGAACUUAAUCAGGUUAUCCUAAGGACAAUUUUUAAAAAAAGCAAAUAAAAUAAUCUUCUAUUACUUUAAAUGUCAGUGACCCUAUUUAUAUUUCUAUUGCAAAGUAAAGUUUUAUGUGUGUUCUUGCUCCAGCUCCAAGAAGAAAUGAAGUCAGCCCUCAGUAUAUGAUAUCCCCCGUGUAUCUUUCCAUCUAAUCUAGCCAGAACGUGCACAGAAUGGGAGCCUGGCUGUUUUCUGCAUCAGACAUUCACCAACCCUGCAUGCUGCUCUCCUGGCCAAUGCCUUGCUCAUCAGCUGCCUUCUAAGGAAGGGUCUCUGGUGUGCUGCUGGCACUGGGCAGCAGACACUUCUGACCAGGAUGUAUCCUCCCUUGUCAGCAAAGCUGUGGUUUCCUUCCCCAUAUGCUGCACAGAAUAACCAAGGUAAUAUUAUAUACUCUGCUCAAGUGUCUCUCAGGCUCAGAGACAUUGCAUUGGUCUGAUGAUUGUCUGCAGAUGGAAGUUAUACCAAAUUACUAAAGUCUGUGGGGCUCUGCUGAUGUGUGUCAACUGGUAAGCUGGUGUGUGUUGCUGAUGUUAGACAGUGACUUGACCACACAAACCUUAGCACACCUGCUGUGGGACGAAAAGCACUGUUUUGUGUACUACACAAAGUGCUAAUUCUGCUGUACGCUGCAUCUGGAUGUUUGCUAAAGAGUGUCUUUGUCCUGGCCAUAU